rnacentral:rRNA from 1 species
CUACGGGUUGCUGCAGUGGGGAAUAUUGCACAAUGGAGGAAACUCUGAUGCAGCCAUGCCGCGUGUGUGAAGAAGGCCCGAGGGUUGUAAAGCACUUUCAAUUGGGAGGAAGGUUAUGUAGCUAAUACCUGCAUAAUUUGACGUUACCUUUAGAAGAAGCACCGGCUAACUCUGUGCCAGCAGCCGCGGUAAUACAGAGGGUGCAAGCGUUAUUCGGAAUUACUGGGCGUAAAGCGCGCGUAGGCGGAUUGUUAAGUCAGAUGUGAAAGCCCUGGGCUCAACCUGGGAACGGCAUUUGAUACUGGCAGUCUAGAGUUUAAGAGAGGGAAGGGGAAUUUCUAGUGUAGCAGUGAAAUGCGUAGAUAUUAGAAGGAACAUCAGUGGCGAAGGCGCCUUCCUGGCUUAAAACUGACGCUGAGGUGCGAAAGCGUGGGUAGCGAACGGGAUUAGAUACCCGUGUAGUC